GUAGCUGCCAGUUGCACCUGUAGUCCCAGAUACUUGAGAUACUGAGGUGGGUGGAUUGCUUGAGUCCAGGAGUUCUGGGCUGCACUGUGCUAUGCUGAUUGGGUGUCUGCACUAAGUUCAGCAUCAAUAUGGUGACUUCCUAUGAGCAGGGUACCACCAGGUUGCCUAAGAAGAGGUGAACCGACCCAGGUCAGAAAUGGAGCAGGUCAAAACUCCCGUGCUGAUCAGUUGUGGGAUCAUGCCUGUGAAUAGCCACUGCACUCCAGCCUGGGCAAUAUAAUGGGAGGGAU
ensembl:misc_RNA Metazoa_SRP Metazoan signal recognition particle RNA